rnacentral:rRNA from 1 species
GACGAACGCUGGCGGCGUGCUUAACACAUGCAAGUCGAACAAUGAACCCGGAGCUUGCUCCGGUGGAUUAGUGGCGAACGGGUGAGUAACACGUGAGUAACCUGCCCUUGACUCUGGGAUAACUGCGGGAAACUGUAGCUAAUACCGGAUACGACCCUCGGCGGCAUCGCCAGGGGGUGGAAAGAAUUUCGGUCAAGGAUGGACUCGCGGCCUAUCAGCUAGUUGGUGAGGUAACGGCUCACCAAGGCGACGACGGGUAGCCGGCCUGAGAGGGUGGCCGGCCACACUGGGACGGAUACACGGACCAUACUCCUGCGGGAGGCAGCAGAGGGGAAUAUUGCACAAUGGGCGCAAGCCUGAUGCAGCAACGCCGCGUGAGGGAUGACGGCCUUCGGGUUGUAAACCUCUUUUAGGAGGGAAGAAGCGAAAGUGACGGUACCUGCAGAAAAAGCACCGGCUAACUACGUGCCAGCCGCCGCGGUAA